rnacentral:rRNA from 1 species
CCUACGGGAGGCAGCAGUGGGGAAUAUUGCACAAUGGGGGAAACCCUGAUGCAGCGACGCCGCGUGAGUGAAGAAGUAAUUCGUUAUGUAAAGCUCUAUCAGCAGGGAAGAAAAUGACGGUACCUGAGUAAGAAGCCCCGGCUAACUACGUGCCAGCAGCAGCGGUAAUACGUAGGGGGCAAGCGUUAUCCGGAUUUACUGGGUGUAAAGGGAGCGUAGACGGCAGUGCAAGACUGGAGUGAAAGGCGGGGGGUCAACCCCCGGACUGCUCUGGAAACUGUACGGCUGGAGUGCAGGAGAGGUAAGUGGAAUUCCUAGUGUAGCGGUGAAAUGCGUAGAUAUUAGGAGGAACACCAGUGGCGAAGGCGGCUUACUGGACUGUAACUGACGUUGAGGCUCGAAAGCGUGGGGAGCAAACAGGAUUAGAUACCCGUGUAGUC